rnacentral:lncRNA from 1 species
UUGUCUCUUAGAUCAAAUACAUCCCUUUGAUUCCCUUAUUGCUUAAACACAUGAUACAAUAAAUAGUGAUUAACAAUAAGCUUUGCCCUCCAUUAAACAUAUAAAAGUUUAAUACAUUAAGUAUUCCAAAAAGCUAUUACAUCAAAUGAGUGGCUUUGUGGGCAUACUUCCAACAAUCUUGUCCUAUAAUUAAAAGUCAGAAAUCAAUGGAAAAUAGGUAAGAAAGGUGCAUGAAUUAAAGAGAGUAGGAAAGGGAAAUUCGGCAGAAAUUGUAGGACAGAUUUUAGGAAUGUGUUUUGGGGCACAAAAUAGGUAAGAAUCCUCUCCCCUUGUGCAGCAAGAAUUGAAACAAAAGGGAAUGCAAUUUUAGGUCAUAAAAUAGGUAAGAAAGGAGAGAAAGGUGCGGCAAUGCCUAGAACUAAAGGGGAAUGUGAGUUAAAAUCAGAAAAUAGGAAAGGAGAGGAUCCCUUGUGCGGCAAGGAAAGGAACAAGCCUAGGGUGGUGCGCCAAUAUCUAGGGCAGGUUCUAGGACUUCUAGAAAUAUGUAAUUAGGCAACCUAACAUGUUUUGAAACCCUUUUGUGGCUGGAACAUA